rnacentral:tRNA from 1 species
GUCUCUGUGGCGCAAUCGGUUAGCGUUUUCGGCUGUUAACCGAAAGGUUGGUGGUUCAAGCCUACCCAGGGACG